AAAAUUAUUUGCCGCCAGCAGGGGUCGAACCUGCGACCUUGGGCUUAUUAGACCCACGCUCUAACCGACUGGGCUAUGGCGGCCACAU
ensembl:ncRNA R11B5.3 ncRNA